AAGGCUGAAAUCAGUGUGUCAACCAGGGCUGGGAGCUCAUCUGAAGGCUCAACAGGGGAUGUAUCCACUGCAGGCCUCUUCUCAGGAUAUUGUUGACACAAUUUAGCUCCUUGAGGGUGCUGGACUGAGGGCCUCACUUCCUAGAUGACUGUUGGCCAGUGGCCACCAGCAAUUCUUUGCCACAUGAGCCUCUCCAGUAUUGCAGCUUGCUUCAUCAAAGUGUGCAAGACAAGAAGACAAAAAAGAGAGCUGCAAGAAAGACGGAAACCAAGAUCUCAUGUAACCUAAUGACAGAGGUGACCUCCCAUUACCAUUGCUGUAUUCUAUUAAAAGCAGGUCUUGCUCACAUUCAAGAAGAAGGGAUUAUACAAGGGUGUGAAUCCCAGGAGACAAGGACCAGUGGGGACAUCUUACAGCCUGCCCACCAUACCACUCAUCUAAUUUCAGACAUGCCUGGACUGGCCUGAUGUUUUCAGAAGAGGAGGAGAGGCAUGUGGAGCAGAGUCAAGCCCCUACGGGCCACAGGCACAUGGAUGAGAACAGGAGAACCGCCUAACUGAGCCCAGCCUGGAUCAGAGCUGAUACCCAGCCAACAACUUGUGAGAACCAAUACAUGGUUAUUUUAAGGCA
rnacentral:lncRNA from 1 species